GACGAACGCUGGCGGCGUGCUUAACACAUGCAAGUCGAACGGAAAGGCCCUGCUUUUGUGGGGUGCUCGAGUGGCGAACGGGUGAGUAACACGUGAGUAACCUGCCCUUUACUUUGGGAUAACUUCAGGAAACUGGGGCUAAUACCGGAUAGGAGCUCCUGCUGCAUGGUGGGGGUUGGAAAGUUUCGGCGGUUGGGGAUGGACUCGCGGCUUAUCAGCUUGUUGGUGGGGUAGUGGCUUACCAAGGCUUUGACGGGUAGCCGGCCUGAGAGGGUGACCGGCCACAUUGGGACUACGAUACGGCCCAGACUCCUACGGGAGGCAGCAGUGGGGAAUAUUGCACAAUGGGCGGAAGCCUGAUGCAGCAACGCCGCGUGCGGGAUGACGGCCUUCGGGUUGUAAACCGCUUUCGCCUGUGACGAAGCGUGAGUGACGGUAAUGGGUAAAGAAGCACCGGCUAACUACGUG
rnacentral:rRNA from 1 species